rnacentral:rRNA from 1 species
AUACGUAGGUGACAAGCGUUAUCCGGAUUUACUGGGCGUAAAGGGCGUGUAGGCGGUCUUGCAAGUCAGAAGUGAAAUUCCUGAGCUCAACUCGGGCGCUGCUUCUGAAACUGCAGGACUUGAGUGCUGGAGGGGAUAGCGGAAUUCCUAGUGGAGCGGUAAAAUGCGCAGAUAUCUGGAAGAACACCAAUGGCGAAGGCAGGCAUCUGGCCAUGUACUGACGCUGAGACGCGAAGGUGCGGGGAGCAAACAGGUUUAGAUACCCUGGUAGUCCGCACAGUAAACGAUGUGCACCAGGUGGCGGGGGGUCGACCCUCGGUACCGUAGCUAAGGCAUUAAGUGCACCGCCUGGGGAGUAUGCUCGCAAGGGUGAAACUCAAAGGAAUUGACGGGG